GGCUCGUUGGUCUAGAGGUAUGAUUCUCGCUUCGGGUGUGGGGAGGUCCCGGGUUCAAAUCUCGGACGAGCCC